rnacentral:rRNA from 1 species
CGCUGGCGGCGUGCCUAAUACAUGCAAGUCGAGCGGACUAAUUAAGAGCUUGCUCUUAUGAGGUUAGCGGCGGACGGGUGAGUAACACGUGGGCAACCUGCCCUGUAGACUGGGAUAACAUCGAGAAAUCGGUGCUAAUACCGGAUAAUUGUUGGAACUGCAUAGUUCUAACUUAAAAGAUGGCUCCGGCUAUCACUAUAGGAUGGGCCCGCGGCGCAUUAGCUAGUUGGUAAGGUAAUGGCUUACCAAGGCGACGAUGCGUAGCCGACCUGAGAGGGUGAUCGGCCACACUGGGACUGAGACACGGCCCAGACUCCUACGGGAGGCAGCAGUAGGGAAUCUUCCGCAAUGGACGAAAGUCUGACGGAGCAACGCCGCGUGAGUGAUGAAGGUUUUCGGAUCGUAAAGCUCUGUUGUUAGGGAAGAACAAGUGCCGUUCGAAUAGGGCGGCACCUUGACGGUACCUAACCAGAAAGCCACGGCUAACUACGUG